rnacentral:rRNA from 1 species
AUUGAACGCUGGCGGCAGGCCUAACACAUGCAAGUCGAACGAGUGGCGGACGGGUGAGUAAUGUCUGGGAAACUGCCCGCUGGAGGGGGAUAACUACUGGAAACGGUAGCUAAUACCGCAUACCAUCGGAUGUGCCCAGAUGGGAUUAGAUAGUAGGUGGGGUAACGGCUCACCUAGGCGACGAUCCCUAGCUGGUCUGAGAGGAUGACCAGCCAAUCUGGAACUGAGACACGUCCAAGCCUCCGACGGUAGGCAGCAGUGGGGAAUAUUGCACAAUGGGCGCAAGCCGGAUGCAGCCAUGCCGCGUGGAUGAAGAAGGCCUUCGGGUUGUAAAGUACUUUCAGCGAGGAGGCGUUACUCGCAGAAGAAGCACCGGCUAACUCCGUGCCAGCAGCCGCGGUAAUUC